rnacentral:lncRNA from 1 species
UGUAUUUGACUAAUAUUGUCCAAUCAUGCUCAAUAGAUUUUUCUCGCAAAUUUCACGUAAAUUAUGUAAUUAGUUAUUUCUUUUACCUAUAUUUAAUUCUUAAUGUAUGUGUCGUAAGAUUCGAUAUUAUUGAGAAUCUAUUUUUUUUUAUAAUUUUCUUGAACAAGGCCUAGAAACUUCCCAGGUCAUUUGGACAAGUAUGUUUGCCCCCUUGAUUCCGGAAAAUGUUUGGCGUGCCUUCGAUGGCACGGCAAAUCCGGUGGAUUCGGCCUCCGGCGAUGGCAAUGGGAAGGAACAGGACGUCAAAACUGGACUGUAGAGCGGCCGCUUUUGCUUCGGUGCGCAGGUCGCGUCAACGGGAGCGCCGUAUCGCACCGUGUACCGCCCUUCCCCUUCCGAUACGGCCUAUCCAUCGCCAGUCUUCGGCUCUCCGCCAUGGGCAUGGGCAGGUCCCUUUUGCCUUGAUGAGCGGCGAUACGACGCACACCCACCCGCUGUGCGGUUGUGGUCCCACCCCCAAGCGCGCCCGUGCUGUCCCCCACCCCACGACACGCUUCCUCCCACGUGAACCUGCGGCCAACGGAUCCGUGACACGUCGGGGCGCCGGCGGUGUGUGUUCACGCGUCGUCCUCCGGACCCAUGAUCACGCGUCGUAGCUUGCUGACUGGGGUCCGUCGUCUGUGUGAGCACGUCGCGUUUUGCUGCGGUCUCCGCCACCUUUUAUUGCUCGCGGCGAGUAGACGACAAACCAGUCCGAGAACGACAGGGAUGUGCAUGCAUGCAGGUUUCACUGACUCGUAGGUCCCAGCGACUGCGGCCCCAGCGGCGUGGGAAAGUUGCUGCUCCGUUCGGCGCCGCUCGCUCGUAGGCAGCCAUCGCAGCACAGGUCAGGGGAGCGUGGUGUACUAGUAGUGUGCAGAGCUGGCGUCAUGAUGAACGCGCGUGUUCACAUAUGAAUGGAGGCGCGGGUGUGCACCGUGCACAGCACAGCGUUACUGGUGGUGGUGGUGGUGGCAGGACCAGUGCAGUGGUCCCGGCGACACGUCAAAUGUCGCGGCGGCUGUGCCGUGCUUCCCCCCUGCCACGCCCACCGGCCACCGCUCCGGAGUCCGGACUCCAACCCCGACGCGCCCCAUUCUCCUGGCCGGAUGGAUCACAGAUGUGUCCUGUAGAAGGAGAAACCAGACCUUGUUUAGUUCACCCUGAAAACCAAAAAGUUUUCAAGAUUCCCCGUCACAUCGAAUCUUGUGGCACAUGCAUGAAAUAUUAGAUAUAGACGAAAAUAAAAACUAAUUACACAGUUUAGCUGUAAAUCACGAGACGAAUCUUUUAAUGUUAGUUAGUUCAUGAUUGGAUAAUAUUUAUCACAAACAAACGAAAUUGCUACGGUACCGAAAACUUUUCACUUUUCAGAACUAAACAAGACCCCAUUCGCUCACAAAAGCCCAACGUACCUUCUCUCCCCCGUGCUCUCCCAGUCAUUCUCCAGCCUUGACCUUAGGGCAAGACCAAACACCACGCACGUUGCAGUACCCACAAGGCUCUAGUACACCUCCCAGCUCUCGAUCCAAGAUGGAUCCCACGCUACGGGCAGUGCUGGGCCACGGCGGAGGCGACGGCGGGGCGAGAGGAGGAGGAGGAGGAGGAGGCGCCGAGCGCUUCCGGGGCGUGAGGAAGCGGCCGUGGGGCAGGUACGCGGCCGAGAUCCGCGACCCGUGGAAGAAGACGCGGGUGUGGCUGGGCACGUUCGACACCCCCGCGGAGGCCGCCCUCGCGUACGACCGCGCCGCGCGCACGCUCCGCGGCGCCAAGGCCAAGACCAACUUCCCCGACCACGCCGGCCAUCUGGCGCCGCUUCUGCGACUGCGUCAACCCCCGCCGCAGCCCGUCUCGUUCGGAGGCGUCAACAACGUCGACUGCCCUACUACUCCGUGGCAAUUCGUCUACCUCCAGACCCCGACAACGGCCGCGGCUCCGCUUCCCCCGACGACUGCAGCGAUGCCGCCGCUGGUGACAACCGAGCCACCGUCAACGGCGCUGGAGCUGGGCAGGGGACAGAGGUGUGGCGGCCUCCCCUUCGACCUCAACGAGGCGCCGUC